GGAGGAAGCAGGCGGUAUUAUGGGCAGUCGGUCUCUCCUCUCUCAGCCAACUAUGAGAACUAUUUGGGAUUGAAGGAGAUAAGCUACAGCAGGUCGCCACUUGUCCUGAACGCUCGACCAUUCUUUGAGCAAGAAGACAGACCUGGGUCGAAUUAUUCUGCAGCCUAUAUGCUGGGACAAAGAUUUUCAUGACUGUAAUCACCACAAGAGCUUUCCUGUAUUCUACGUGCAGAUGGCCACAGCCUCACAGUCUAAUAGAAAAAUCUACCUGAAGCCUCUGAGAGGCCCAGCAUAAUCGGGGGCACGGAAAACAGGAAUGAGAAGGGGGCAGAGUGCUGCUGGGCUCAGUUAGUGAAAUGCGAAGAAACUUCAGCUCCUAGAAUGUGGGAUCCAGGUGAACCCUAACCUUGAAGAGUCCCAGAGUUUGAGGGCCAGGCUGACGGAGAACUGGAGAGGCUCAGAUUCACAGGAAGCAUGGGAUUGAAGGCGACGUGGCCACACAGGAGCCGGGGACCCAGAGACAGGAAGCCACAAUGCAGAAAGAAGAAGAUGGAGUCUUCCUUCGUUGCUCAGGUUAGAGUGCAGUGACAUGAUCUCAGCUCACUGCAAUCUCCGCCUCCUGGGUUCAAGCAAUUAUGCUGCCUCAGCCUCUGAAGUAGCUGGGAUUAAAAGGCAACUAUGCAGAAAUUUCUAGAAAAGGAACAAUAACAUUUGGGUCAUCAGGUCGCUGCCACGGAAAAAGGUGAUGAACUUCCAGGCAUUGCCAUAGCAAUGGUAAACUGACAUGGCACCAAUAGGCAUGCCUUAUGGAGAGCUGCUUUCACCUCCUCCUUGUUUCAGCAAGCCUUCAAACUGGUCCGGAGCCCAAGUCCCCACCUCUGGAGUUGAGUCCCACUUUCUAUCUCAAUGGUGCUUCUUCAGUUCAUGUGUUGUAUGUUCAUAGCCAGAGCGCAUACAUGUUCAUCAUUUUUUCACCCCCUUCAUCAUCUUUUUCACAAAUAUCUACAGGUGCAGGUUUGAGUCUUGACAUCACCACCAACCAGCUGUUGGGUGGGCUGCUUUAUGAUCUGAGCUGGAGUUCUCCAACCCACUCAGGGAACACAAUACCUUGUAGACUACUGGGAGGGUUAACAUGGACAUAUAUGAAGCACCUGGUCAGGUGGCCAGUACAUGUACACAGCAGAUACUCAAUAAAAGUGCAAAACUUU